GACGAACGCUGGCGGCGUGCCUAAUACAUGCAAGUUGAGCGCUGAAGGUUGGUACUUGUACCGACUGGAUGAGCAGCGAACGGGUGAGUAACGCGUGGGGAAUCUGCCUUUGAGCGGGGGACAACAUUUGGAAACGAAUGCUAAUACCGCAUAAAAACUUUAAACACAAGUUUUAAGUUUGAAAGAUGCAAUUGCAUCACUCAAAGAUGAUCCCGCGUUGUAUUAGCUAGUUGGUGAGGUAAAGGCUCACCAAGGCGAUGAUACAUAGCCGACCUGAGAGGGUGAUCGGCCACAUUGGGACUGAGACACGGCCCAAACUCCUACGGGAGGCAGCAGUAGGGGAUCUUCGGCAAUAGACGAAAGUCUGACCGAGCAACGCCGCGUGAGUGAAGAAGGUUUUCGGAUCGUAAAACUCUGUUGGUAGAGAAGGACGUUGGUGAGAGUGGAAAGCUCAUCAAGUGACGGUAACUACCCAGAAAGGGACGGCUAACUACGUG
rnacentral:rRNA from 1 species